rnacentral:pre_miRNA from 1 species
GGGGGGAGGCCGGAUCCUGGGCUGUGUCCCGGCGCCCUGUGCUCCGGAGCCUGCGCUGAUGGAUUCGCGCUCCCGGGCCGCGCAACCCCCU